rnacentral:rRNA from 1 species
CGAGCGAACAGACGAGGAGCUUGCUCCUCUGACGUUAGCGGCGGACGGGUGAGUAACACGUGGAUAACCUACCUAUAAGACUGGGAUAACUUCGGGAAACCGGAGCUAAUACCGGAUAAUAUAUUGAACCGUAUGGUUCAAUAGUGAAAGACGGUUUUGCUGUCACUUAUAGAUGGAUCCGCGCCGCAUUAGCUAGUUGGUAAGGUAACGGCUUACCAAGGCAACGAUGCGUAGCCGACCUGAGAGGGUGAUCGGCCACACUGGAACUGAGACACGGUCCAGACUCCUACGGGAGGCAGCAGUAGGGAAUCUUCCGCAAUGGGCGAAAGCCUGACGGAGCAACGCCGCGUGAGUGAUGAAGGUCUUCGGAUCGUAAAACUCUGUUAUUAGGGAAGAACAAAUGUGUAAGUAACUAUGCACGUCUUGACGGUACCUAAUCAGAAAGCCACGGCUAACUACGUGCCAGCAGCCGCGGUAAUACGUAGGUGGCAAGCGUUAUCCGGAAUUAUUGGGCGUAAAGCGCGCGUAGGCGGUUUUUUAAGUCUGAUGUGAAAGCCCACGGCUCAACCGUGGAGGGUCAUUGGAAACUGGAAAACUUGAGUGCAGAAGAGGAAAGUGGAAUUCCAUGUGUAGCGGUGAAAUGCGCAGAGAUAUGGAGGAACACCAGUGGCGAAGGCGACUUUCUGGUCUGUAACUGACGCUGAUGUGCGAAAGCGUGGGGAUCAAACAGGAUUAGAUACCCUGGUAGUCCACGCCGUA